UUUUUAAGAUAAAUUCUUAAGUUUUGUGUUAACUGCACAGAGCUUUCUCUGUAGGCCUGGUCCUUGCCCGUCAGAAGGAGGUAGCUCUGUCGGUCUUCACAGCUCCCAGAAGCAUCUUUGCUCACUGUCCUUCCGUUGCCUUCCCCUUGGGAAACACACAGCUUCAGAGCACAGGGAGCUGCGUUGGAGCCGAAUGGAGUCUCCUUCUGAGACGUGGGGGGGGGAAGGGCCUGCUUUCAUCAAGUCUUCUUGCCGUGAUGGAGUUGAAAAUGAGGCAGAAGUUCUAAAGGGCAGCGUUAAACCAAGCCGGCGAUGGAUUUGUGGAAAAUGAAGUUCCAUAGUCACAUACAGUAAUUGUUUUUUUUGGGG